AUUGAACGCUGGCGGCAUGCCUUACACAUGCAAGUCGAACGGUAACAGGUCUUCGGAUGCUGACGAGUGGCGAACGGGUGAGUAAUACAUCGGAACGUGCCCGAUCGUGGGGGAUAACGAGGCGAAAGCUUUGCUAAUACCUCAUACGAUCUACGGAUGAAAGCGGGGGAUCUUCGGACCUCGCGCGGACGGAGCGGCCGAUGGCAGCUUAGGUAGUUGGUGGGCUAAAAGCUUACCAAGCCGACGAUCUGUAGCUGGUCUGAGAGGAUGAUGAGCCACACUGGGACUGAGACACGGCCCAGACUCCGACGGGAGGAAGCAGUGGGGAAUUUUGGACAAUGGGCGAAAGCCUGAUCCAGCCAUGCCGCGUGCAGGAUGAAGGCCUUUGGGUUGUAAACUGCUUUUGUACGGAACGAAAAGCCUCUUUCUAAUAAAGAGGGGUCAUGACGGUACCGUAAGAAUAAGCACCGGCUAACUACGUG
rnacentral:rRNA from 1 species